CAUCUCAUUCGCAUUCGAGAGGGUGAUGAAUGGAAAACGGCAUUCAAAACCCACUUUGGUCAUUUUGAGUAUCUGGUUAUGCCCUUUGGCCUCUGCAAUGCCCCCGCCACCUUUCAGAAUCUGCAUGGAUGAGCACCGCCGGCAUGUCAGAUUGGUCCUCCAAAGGGCGGGCAGGUGAAGACGGACCUGGCUAAGAUCAAGGCUGUUGAGGAAUGGCCGGUUCCGAACUCCAGAAAGCAACUCCAGCGCUUUCUGGGGUUCGCUAAUUUCUACCGGCGGUUCAUCCGAAACUUCAGUGUCAUCGCAACCCCUCUGACCAGUCUGACCUCCACCAAACACCCAUUCAGCUGGACCCCAGAGGCCGGACUUGCUUUUGUUGAGCUAAAGAGAAGGUUUGUGGAUGCUCCCAUUCUCAUUCAUCCUGACCCUUCUGCUCAAUUUACAGUGGAGGUGGAUGCAUCUGAAACAG